GAAUUCACUAGUGAUUCAGGCCUAACACAUGCAAAAAGAGCGGUAGAGAGAAGCUUGCUUCUCUUGAGAGCGGCGGACGGGUGAGUAAUGCCUAGGAAUCUGCCUGGUAGUGGGGGAUAACGUUCGGAAACGGACGCUAAUACCGCAUACGUCCUACGGGAGAAAGCAGGGGACCUUCGGGCCUUGCGCUAUCAGAUGAGCCUAGGUCGGAUUAGCUAGUUGGUGAGGUAAUGGCUCACCAAGGCGACGAUCCGUAACUGGUCUGAGAGAAAGAUCAGUCACACUUUUUUGGGGGCACGGUCCAGACUCCUACGGGAGGCAGCAGUGGGGAAUAUUGGACAAUGGAGCGAAAGCCUGAUCCAAAAGUGCCGCGUGUGUGAAGAAGGUCUUCGGAUUUACUUCAAUGAAAGUUGGGAGGAAGGGCAGUUACCUAAUACGUGAU
rnacentral:rRNA from 1 species